rnacentral:rRNA from 1 species
GAUGAACGCUAGCGGCAGGCCUAACACAUGCAAGUCGAGGGGCAGCACAUAAAGUGGUUUACUACUUUUGGUGGCGACCGGCGGACGGGUGCGUAACGCGUAUGCAACCUGCCUCCAACAGGGGGAUAACGGAGAGGAAUUUCCACUAAUACCCCAUAAUAUCAGAAUCGGCAUCGGUUUUGGUUGAAAACUCCGGUGGUUGGAGAUGGGCAUGCGUUGCAUUAGAUAGUUGGUGAGGUAACGGAUCACCAAGCCAACGAUACAUAGGGGGACUGAGAGGUUAGCCCCCCACACUGGUACUGAGACACGGACCAGACUCCUACGGGAGGGCGCAGUGAGGAAUAUUGGUCAAUGGGGGCAACCCUGAACCAGCCAUGCCGCGUGCAGGAAGACGGCUCUAUGAGUUGUAAACUGCUUUUACAAGGGGAUAAAUCGGUGUACGUGUACACCGUUGAAGGUACCUUGGGAAUAAGGAUCGGCUAACUCCGUGCCAGCCGCCGCCGUAA